UUAGGACCAAGGGGACAUGAGGAUUAGUAUAUGCGAGCUACAAGGCCACGGUAGCAGUUUGGGAACAGGAUGAAUGUGCAGUUCUGUCUCCAAACUCACACUCAACCUUGGCUUGGCACGGUCAGUGUUGAGGAGCUCGGGUCCUGCCAGCUCUUCAGUCUGGCAGUGCAGUGGAGGACUUGUGGGAAGAGUUGGGAGUGCCUGACUUUGGUUAUGACUGAUCCCCUGUGGCCACCUCUCAGAGCAACAUUGAUGGGCUCUGGUAGGAGCCAUGUCCAGAGUUUCUGUAACACAGAACCUUUAAGAGAAGGAGGUAAAUGCAGAGAAUCUGUUCCUUUCCUCUUUCCAUCCCUAUGAGACACAUGGUGGCCUCAGUAAGAAGCUAUAUAUGUGGUCAGGGUAUGCUAAGGCAGAGGAUCUCUAACUGUGGUCCAAGCUCCAUUCAGAUGGUCCGCGGAUAGUUCCCUAUAAGGUGUACACCUGGGUGGCCGCACACAAGAAAAUGAAAGGCCACCCACCACUGUAGGUGUGGCUCCACCAAUUAGGUGCCUGGAUGCUGGAGAAGAUGCACAUGUAAGGUGAGGUUGUGGCCUUGGGGGGAAUAGUGGGUAGGUGGGAAGGGACAGUGGGGUGAGAAGAGGGGGUGGGGGGAAUUUGGGACGUGCAGGGCUGCAGUGGCCAGAGAAAGAGGCAACUUUCUCCAGCUCCAGGACUGCGGCUGCUGGAGAGAGACCCCCCACCUCCUUCCCAGCAUCAGCUCGGGGGUUGCCGCGAUGGAGGAGAGAGGGCACAUCCAUCGCAUUAGAAAGCCUCUGCCAGCAGAGAAGAUAUCUCACAUUGGAAAUGAACCAUGCCUAGGUGGUCAGCUUCCACCCAUCAGAUCCAGGAGCACAAAAAGCCCUGGGGAUUCACGUAUUUGAGUGAACAACGGAUUUGAGACCAGAGAGGUGCAAUGUAGCUGAUUGAAGGGGAGUUGCAAUGGGAUCUGUCCAAGAGACCUGGACAGAUUGACUGGUGAGAGAGUAAAAAUCCCAAGGGUUCAGUCCUGGACAUGUUACUCAUGCAAGCAGCUUCCUUGGCUUACUCACAAGGACUUCAGGAUGGAGCUCUUCAUGUUAUUCUGACUCUUGAGGUCUCACAGUGACAAGCAUCUCCAACCUACAAAGACGGAGAAGCACAAAGUGCUGCAGCAAGAGACUGAGGCCCAUAAGCAAAGCUGCCCAAGGGCAGCAUCAGCACCCACACUUCAGAGAGAAGCCAGCAUUCAACGUUUUUGGGACUGGACUGUUGAGUUCCAUGGUGACAGCUGUGGCUUGCUCUGCCUCUUGCUUAGCCCUCCUCAGCUGUUGGUUUCCCUGCAGUUCGAGG